rnacentral:lncRNA from 1 species
CUGGGUUCCCUGCUCUAACUUGGCCCAUCCCCCAGAUUCGCAGGGAAGGCCCUGCACUCACUCUUCUUGCAGGAGGUGCAUUUGCACUCUUUGCAUUUGCAGGAGCCAGUGCAGGUGCAUUUGCACUCUUUGCAUUUGCAGGAGCCGGCGCAGGAGCAGUUGGGAUCCAUGGCGAGCUGAAGAGGCGGCUAGAGUCGGGACAGGUUGCACGCGGGUUCGCUGGGACUUG